CCAGACGGUCGGAUGGCUGCCUUCGGCGCGGUUUGCCGCGCCGGGGGAGGAAAGUCCGGGCUCCACGGGAACACGGUGCCGGGUAAUCCCCGGCGGGGGCGACCCUAGGGAAAGUGCCACAGAAAGCAAACCGCCCGUCGUAGCGCCCAUGGCGCGAAGGCGGGUAAGGGUGAAAGGGUGCGGUAAGAGCGCACCGCGUCCCCGGCGACGGGG
rnacentral:RNase_P_RNA from 1 species